UAAAAAUAAAACCAAAGGCAUAUGCAAAGGCAAGUGAUGGGGCUCUCCAUAAUGCAAGGGAUUUGUAGGGAAGGGAGAGUUCUACAUGGGAUGGGAAGAAGAAAGCAAAGCAAAGCAAAGCAAGAAUAAACAGCGAUUUACUGAGCUGACAAGGGUUGGUUUUUAGGGUUUUUAUCAAGCUGCAGCCAGUUCUUGUAAAAGCUACCUUUGCACGGGGGAGAUAAGCUCACAAGCUCACGCUCCUCGACAAUAGCUUCUUGGGUCUUGCUCUCUAACAGGCAGCAACAAGUUCCUAGAAGGGUUAGACAUGUCCACCAUAUGUUCAAUUACCAAAAUAUCCUCAAACUGAGUUUCGAGCAGCGGUUCAAGGAGGAUAUUUUAAUUAAUACUGUAGCAAAUAGAAGAACUUUCUCUUCAUUUCUAGUUUCCUUCUGAGUUGCUUCGCUUACUGGUUUUUCCAAGUUAAUUAUGAGUAGAGAUUUUCUUUUAUUGGUUAACGGAAACUUCUAUUGAGCGUCUUCUUCACUUGAGCACUGUAUUUGUACAUGCUACAGAUUGAAAGCAACUAUUAAUCAUGGUGUCCUUUUCUUUA